rnacentral:rRNA from 1 species
GACGAACGCUGGCGGCGUGCUUAACACAUGCAAGUCGAACGGAAAGGCCCUGCUUUUGUGGGGUGCUCGAGUGGCGAACGGGUGAGUAACACGUGAGUAACCUGCCCUUGACUUUGGGAUAACUUCAGGAAACUGGGGCUAAUACCGGAUAGGAGCUCCUGCUGCAUGGUGGGGGUUGGAAAGUUUCGGCGGUUGGGGAUGGACUCGCGGCUUAUCAGCUUGUUGGUGGGGUAGUGGCUUACCAAGGCUUUGACGGGUAGCCGGCCUGAGAGGGUGACCGGCCACAUUGGGACUGAGAUACGGCCCAGACGCCUACGGGAGGCAGCAGUGGGGAAUAUUGCACAAUGGGCGGAAGCCUGAUGCAGCAACGCCGCGUGCGGGAUGACGGCCUUCGGGUUGUAAACCGCUUUCGCCUGUGACGAAGCGGGAGUGACGGUAAUGGGUAAAGAAGCACCGGCUAACUACGUG